rnacentral:lncRNA from 1 species
CUUUUUUUUUUUAGAGGAAAAAGGUAAGAAAAACAAGAAUCCGACCAACCGCCAUGUGUACGAAAACACCUUUUCCUUUGCAAAAACCUUUUUACCUACCUAUAACCUUCGAAAUAUGUCUGGAAACGUCUUCCCCAAAGGGAUAACAACUGCAUCUAAACGUUAAUGCAUUCUCGUGGGGAAAGAAGAAAACAUGGCGAAAAGGUUUUCUCCCAAAAAGAAAGAAAAAAAAAAAUCAAUGGUAGCCUUGCAAACGUAUGGCAUUCUUAAUUCCAUUCUAUUUGGCAUUUAAUCCCCUGAAGAAUGCGUGUGUACUCGAAUGGCGACUGUCGUUUCCAAACCAGGUAAUGGCGUCCACGACUUUUGAGGCGGGGUUCGGGCCCACGUGUUUCUGCUCCAAUCAAACAAAGAAAUCAAGUUGUAAAAAAAGAAAAAGACGUUGCAAUUUCGUGUAUUGUCUUGAGGAUGUCGUCUAGAAAUCGAACAACACGAAAAAGAAAAGAGAAUGUUGAACAUUCACGACUUUUUUUUGUCAGUUUCCAGUCAGCAACAAUUGGUUCCACGAUCUGCGGGGGAAAGAAAGAGAGAAGCCAUACCGGGACAAGAAACAUACACGCCGGUGAUGUCAACAAGUAGCCAAUGACUCAUUGACUUCUUUCUUUGCCAACGUCAUAUUAUUAUUAAUUUCAACAGGUGGCUUCUUGUUUCUUCCUCCCACAAAGACAAAAAUAAAACGCAGAUACGUUUUAAUGCAAUGGAAAUAACAUUCUUCUUGAAAGCUAUAUAGCUAUAUACUAGUGUAACAGUUUCAUGAACAUUUCUCAACCGUGAAAAAGUCAAGAAAACAAAUGUAGGUUAACGAGGUGCCAUGUAACGGAAAAGAGUAAACUGAAGAUUAUCAUCUGUUCGAGGAGGAAGAAGAAAAAAAUAGUUGCCUUGUUUGCUCGGGCCAUUGACUUUAGGUCGAUAUAUAUUUGCGGACGAGGAAAUGCGAGAAAAUUAUUUUGUGUGAUUUCAACCAAUUGGCGAGUCAUCGUCAAGUAUGACACAAAAUAGCCACUUUUCGGUUAGCUCGAGGGCAUCGUUGGAUUCGAAACAAAAGGAUGCCUGGUAAAAAGUGAAAAGCUACACACGCUAAGCGAAGGCGGUCAAGACAGACCGCCAGCAGCACUGUGUUUUUGCCAGUGAGUGGUCGGAGCCAUUUUGUUUUGUUGGUCGGUUGGGAUAUUUCAGCCCGUCACUCGAUACUUCAUGGCUAGACUUCCGUCUGUGCCCCGUACAUCGUUAAGUGUAGUCUCUCUCUAGCUUUAUUGCAUAGCCCUAUGACGAAAAAAACUCGUUUCUUUUCAUGUUUUAGGAAACACUGCGAUCCUUUUUUAAUUUACGAUUCAAGUCUGCACACAGCGGCCAUUGAAGUCUGCUGCUCUUCCUAGAUAUCCACUUAUGAAACAAAAUUGAACUGUGACGUUUCUCGUAAACACAAUUGAAGUAAGCAGCUUUAAAAAAAAGUCGCAUGAACAAUGUGUUCUGCAUUAUUGCAAUUUUGAACAAUUGUCGGAAGACGGCAAUUGCGUGUGCAGAUGACACUAAAAGAUGGGGCAGUACCUGUUUAUUACUAGCUCAUCAUAUAGCUAUCACGCUCGGUUCGUUCACUUAAUAGGGCUUAUGUCGUCGUUCAACUCUCAAAGUCGUGUCAGAAAUUUAAAAAAAGAAUUAGAAAAUAUACGUUUACCGAAAACUUGUUUUCUAAAUGAGAAAAAAGAGAAUUGAUUGCAUUGAAAUCCUCCCUUCCAACCAAAAAAAAAACCGACCCCUUUCACACACGGCGGUGUUAUCAACCCGUUCCACUCGACUUAUUCCAUAGAAAAAAAAAAGAGCAGCUCUUUCAUAAUUCAUUUCUAGAAUCUCCCCCCCCCCUUUUUUUUUCAUUUGCUGUGACGACUCUGAAAAAAAAAAAGUUUAAGAAACCUCGUUCCGCUUUGCAGAAUACAUUCAUGUCCCCGACUACUGAAAGAGGGGAGAAAACAAGUAAUUCUUCGCUUUACACCUGAAAAACAACGCAAACACAGUGCCAACAAGUUUUCCCCUCGCUGCCAUAAUAUCCCUGCGGAGUUUGCGUGCUGGAUUUACACAAAAAUAAAACCGGCGUACUGCAUGACAAUAAGGCAAGGUCAAUGGCGGAUUCCCCAGCUUUUGCAUACCGCGUAAUAUGCUUGAAAAUAAAAAAAACAAAAGAGAGAAACUAUAAUACAUUUUUAUUUGUUCAACGGAAUGUUGUGGCACUAAUGCUUUUGCGCGAAAUUGGGAUUAAUAAAAAAAAAAAGAAGAGAAAAACAAGACACAAUCCCUGACAUAUUCAUAUCCAGCCAAUGGGAAUUAAUUACUAGCUGGAUAUGAGGGGGGGGAGGGGAACCAGUAUCGAUAUGUGAUGGAAUGUGUAUGCAUCCUAUACUAAACGUACCUGAAUGUUGUUGUCUCUUGAGGUACACAUUUUUACAUUACUGCUAGGCAGUCGUGGCUCACAACUUGAACGUUAAAAACACAAAGGUGUUCCUGUUUUGUCAAUUAAAAGGUAAAAAACAAAGUGGAGGGAUUGAGUUGCAAAGUGAAGAUCAA